rnacentral:misc_RNA from 1 species
GAUGAAGAACGUAGCGAAAUGCGAUAAGUAGUGUGAAUUGCAGAAUUCAGUGAAUCAUCGAAUCUUUGAACGCACAUUGCGCCCCUUGGUAUCCCGAGGGGCAUGCCUGUUCGAGCGUCAUUUCACCACUCAAGCCUGGCUUGGUGUUGGGCGACGUCCCCUUUGGGGACGCGCCUCGAAACGCUCGGCGGCGUGGCACCGGCUUUAAGCGUAGCAGAAUCUUUCGCUUUGGAAGUCGGGGCCCCGUCUGCCGGAAGACCUACUCGCAAGGUUGACCUCGGAUCAGGUAGGAAUACCCGCUGAACUUAAGCAUAUCAAUAAGCGGAGGA